UAUAUAUUAUAUACGUAAAAAGUAAAAUAUUACAUUAAUUCCAUUGCAAGCCCUACACUUCUGCACCUUUGGCGAAACGUUCCACCUCUCCGAAGUUUACAUCUGCCGUCGUUCAAGAACCUAGCAACAUUUUCGCCAUCUGCCGUCGACUAUGUACCAGAUCCUUCACCUUCGGCCGUUCGCUGUCCGCCGUGGACUGAGUACGAAGAUCCCUUCAUUUUCGGCCAUCGUUGUCCACUGAGUCUUGCACCAAUAUCAAAUCGUUCUACUGUAGUGAUGAAGCUACAAAGCAAGUUAUUUAUGUUUGGUUAGUGAUGAAACUUGAAAUUUCGUUAUUCUCGACAAUACCUUGUUGCAUUUAGUUUCUUUGUAAAAAUAUACUAUCGAGGUUUAGUUUCUAUUUUGCUUGUAUUUGUCAUUUUAGGGAAAUUCGAUAGAUUUUGUGCAUUAGUUUCUUUGUAAAAUCGUUAUCUUGUUAUUGUUAUAUAUGAGAGUUCUUAUGUGUGCUAGUUUUGUGUUAAAAUAAAAUCAGUUGGUGAAAACUAUCUGUAAUGAUAGGAUUAACUGACAAUAUAAAAGUUUGUAAUUGUUUGUAA